UGUUAGUCUCAGAAGGAAAGCUUGGGUCAGAGGAUGGAGGAAAAUGAAACAGUCCACAUGGCAAACUGGGAGGUUUUUAUCUUCAUGAUGAAAAUGUGGCUCAGAGAUUGAAGGCUAGACCACCAAGAGACUUCAACCAUAUGGAACCCUGGAC